UGGGGAAUAUUGGACAAUGGGCGGAAGCCUGAUCCAGCAACGCCGCGUGAGGGAUGACGGCCUUCGGGUUGUAAACCUCUUUCACCCAUGACGAAGCGUCAGUGACGGUAGUGGGAGAAGAAGGACCGGCCAACUACGUGCCAGCAGCCGCGGUAAUACGUAGGGUACGAGCGUUGUCCGGAAUUAUUGGGCGUAAAGGGCUCGUAGGCGGUUUGUCGCGUCGGGAGUGAAAACACCGGGCUUAACUCGGUGCUUGCUUCUGAUACGGGCAGACUGGAGGCAUGCAGGGGAGAACGGAAUUCCUGGUGUAGCGGUGAAAUGCGCAGAUAUCAGGAGGAACACCGGUGGCGAAGGCGGUUCUCUGGGCAUGUCCUGACGCUGAGGAGCGAAAGUGUGGGGAGCGAACAGGAUUAGAUACCCUGGUAGUCCACACCGUAAACGUUGGGCGCUAGGUGUGGGAUCCAUUCCACGGGUUCCGUGCCGCAGCUAACGCAUUAAGC
rnacentral:rRNA from 1 species